CUUUCCCUCUCUCUUCAGGCCUAACACAUGCAAGUCGAGCGGAUGAAGGGAGCUUGCUCCUGGAUUCAGCGGCGGACGGGUGAGUAAUGCCUAGGAAUCUGCCUGGUAGUGGGGGGUAACGUCCGGAAACGGGCGCUAAUACCGCAUACGACCUGCGGGAGAACGUGGGGAACUUCGGACCUCACGCUCUCAGAUGAGCCUAGGUCGGAUUAGCUCGUUUGUGGGGUAAAGGCCUACCAAGGCGACGAUCCGUAACUGGUCUGAGAGGAUGAUCAGUCACCCUGGACCUGAAACAAGGUCCAGACUCCUACGGGAGGCAGCAGUGGGGAAUAUUGGACAAUGGGCGGAAGCCUGAUCCAGCCAUGCCGCGUGUGUGAAGAAGGUCUUCGGAUUGGAAAGCACUUCAAGUUUGGAGGAAGGGCAGUAAGUUAAUACCUUGCUGUUUUGACGUUACCAACAGAAUAAGCACCGGCUAACUUCGUG
rnacentral:rRNA from 1 species